UAACCUCCCAGGCUGGCUGAUCCUCAGGUGGGGCUGGGUGAGGACUUCUUCGAAAGGCUUGCCCUCAAGGAUGACUAGGAGC
rnacentral:pre_miRNA from 1 species